CUACUUCCUCUCAUUUCUCUUUCCCUUACAGCCUGCCCACCUUCCGCUUCCCCAUCGGAACACGAAGGGCCUAGGUCACUUGGCCGGUGAUUUCCUCGGUGCCCAGCCCAGUCCGCGGGGUGCAGUCUCCCUCUCCCUGCCGCUCACGACCCUCUCAGGGCUCCCAGCCGCGGAGGCGCUGGGGUGAAGCCCCCUCCUUGCUUCGUUUUCUAAAGUGCCUGCAAAUACAAAAGCGGUUCCGUAAUGCCUUCCGUCUGCGAGAGCCGGAGGACCUUGGCUGACCUUUCGGAAACUGAUUGCAACUGCCUGUUAACAGCCCGUACUGACCGCACUGAGCGGAGCGGAGGACAAUCAUUUAAGUGACAGACGGCGAGGUGGCCCCGGCUCAGUUGAGCGGCCUGGUUAAGCCCUCCCCUCCCCCCUCCCCAGCUACUCCCCCAGCUCCGGGUGCACUGCGGGCCGUGGCCAGCUCUCUGGAGAGCGGGGAGGGCGCACCGUGAGCGCCUGUGAGUGUGAGUGCGUGUCUGCGAUUAUGGGCCGAAGGGUUAACCCUUUGCAGAACGCCGCCGGGGUCCUUUGAAGCCGAGCGCUGCCGGCUUAAUCUGCCAUUUGCAGAAGAGGAAUAAAGAGGCUGCCUUGUCCUACUACCCCUAAUGGGUAAACUGUACUCUCUUAGCGUGACCCGGUCACUGUCCCUGCUGCUGCCGAGGAAAGAUCUCGACCCUUGGAUCUUCUGCCAUGGCGCUAUGUAACCUCCCUGCGCUUUCCUCUUUUUCCUCACAGAAACAAGGAACAGCGCGGGGACAGCGCAAAGCGUCCAAAGGCUUUAAGGUUGAAAACCUAAAACGGAUGACCCACCAAUUGGCCUGGGUCCACUGUGUUGCGGAAGAUGGAGGAGGGGAGCUGCAGAGAUUCGGGGUUUAUUUGUAUACCCUCAUCCUCCUGCGAUACCAAGCCAGCCAGAGGUGGCGUCCCUGACUGCUCUGCGGUCCUGGGCAGGGCAGGAAGCUGGCGCGGCCGCCGACUGGGCAGGCACCACUUGGCCUAGCCCGCUGUUCGCUGGAACUCGCGAAGCACCAUCACUCUGAGUUGAGUUCCCGAGACUCCGGCCUGGUCACCCUGAGCUGUUUUCCUCCCACAUCGUCAGUUGGCCUCUCUCGCAAGUCUCCUGAUCUCCCGCCAUCUGCUUUUCCCUUCCUUGACCGAUCUCUGGAACUUCGAAAUACAUUCAACCGCCUUUUCUGAGAUUCAAAGUUUUGUGUUUCCCCAGGGGUUAGCAGCCUAAUGCUUCCCCCGUUUCCCGGAACAAAGCAAGUAUUCAGCCGGGAGGGGGGCAGGCUGAGUAUCCUCUCCCAGCAGCGCCUGGCGCCUGUGCAGGUUCAGAACACUCUCUUUUGAAUGCAGGUGCCUUGGUGUGAGUGAGUGUGUGUGUGUGUGUGUGUGUGUGUGUGUGUGUGGUGGUGGGGGGGGGGGGGCUUUCUUUCCUCCGUCUCUCCGGGGAGCCCGAGAGGACACUUGUGUUUAGGCGAGGUUCUCACCCCGAGCUAGGAGGGCACACACUCGGCUGUUUACAGUGUGUCUGCUGCUGGAGAUCACUUGCCCACACUUGACAGCGCGGGGCACCCUCAGGCUGCCAGAUCCUCGAGCACUUCGCCGGAGGCUUUCGCAGUACUGGGGCCAGGGUGGGCAAGGAAAAGCGAGAGGUCUCUUAGAAUUUUGAGGUUUUGCAGUCCACAGAUCCCCCACCACCACCACCACCAUAACAAGAGUCUGGAUCGAGUAGUCUGUCAAAGGAGUUUAGGGGAGGAGUGAAGAGCUCACGAAGCGGGGUGAGAUUCAAAACAGUCCUUGGGCUACCAUCAGACAGCCUAUCCCCAUCCCCCAGUCCCGGGUGCGCCCUGGACUCCACUCGCGACUCAGAGGUGCCUCUCUCUGGACAGCGCUCCGCAGCUCCACCUGUCUUUGCCACCCUACGCGAUAGACUUCUCACCCCAAGCAAGGAGGGAGGGCUACGCUAGCUGUGACCACGAGCGCCCCGGCUUUCAGCCGUACAGCUCGGCCUUAGAUCCCGCUCCAGCUCUUCCCUUCUCCCCGGCCUGUGGCCCGCUCCAGGCGCCUCUAGCGCGGCCUGAAACUUGAUCCCGUGUCGGAAGGACAGUAUGUAAACACCAGGCGCGCUCCGAGAACCCGCGGGAGGGGCCGAGCGAGGGCCGCCCGGGCGAGCAGCUCCGAGGCCCCGCGCCCCCUCCUGCCUGCUCGCCCGGGGCGUGAUCGGCAGGGCCGCUGCCUAGCUCUCUGCCUUCCCUGUUGGCUCAGCUAAUUGGAGCCGCCGCCACUGUGGCGGCCUCUUGUUGAAUUUUCUAGAUCGCAACCGUUCAGUCGUGGCUGCCUGCGGCUCCCUUCCCCCUCCCACAGCUGUUAUCAAGGCCAGCAACUUGUUGGUGAUGGGGACAGUCCCUCCACUGACCCUGGCGUCAGGCUCCGCAUUUACUUCAGCAGUUCCAAGAGUGUUUUUUGUUUGGUGUGGUGUGUGAGGUGUGUGUGUGUGGUGUGUGUGUGUGUGUGUGUGUGUGUGUGUGUGUGAGAGAGAGAGAGAGAGAGAGAGAGAGAGAGAGAGAGAGAGAGUCAUGUUGGAAGUGCAAGGAUUCCCGCCAGGAUUCGAGGCUCCUGGUACUAAACCAGGGAACCUCCUGGCAGAAAGCCUUUAUUCUCACGGCCUUGCACCAGGAAGUAGUGGCAGUCCAGAGGGCCUCCAAGAACAACUCCACUAGCUUUGGUUCCUAACCGGAAAACAUUACAAUGGGGUGGGGUGGUGAUGGCAGAAAAAUAAUUCCCUCUCUCUUACCCGGUCCCUUUCUCUAGUUGACACCACAUUUGGAACUUGUGUGCAAGUCCCUUGAACCUCCUGCACUUUGGAGUCUAGGCCACCUAGAUGCCACAAAGCUACUUGCACUUUGAGUUGAUUGAUGUACCAAGCAGAUCUAGGAAAAAACAACACUCUCUGGGCUCUGUAGAUGCAGUGCUCCCAAGCUGGGUCAGCUUCAAGCCUGUGGUGCUUCCCCUUCCUCCCAGCCUUCUCUGGCCAGCCAUCGAUUGCCCCAGACACAUUUGUACUGGAUGCCGUCUAUCCGUGCAGCCAGUAAACUGUAGUGGCCUAUAAGAGGUUCCAAGUUUGGCCUCAUGGCAGAGUGGGAGUAGAAAGCAGUUCGGUAGACUCAGGAAGAAAUUACUGGUGGCAGGAGAAGAACUCAGUUGCUUUUUAUCCAACAUGCACAUAGAUUGAUUGCUAGUGGAUUGCACAGGCCCAAGGCCCAACCUUGUGGACAGCAGCAACUCCCAGCCAGGAAGUACAUGCAUAGACAGAGGCAAACUCCCAGGGUUUGGGUGAGUGAGCCACCAUUAGGGGACCUUCCACAGCCCAAGAGAGAGCAGCUGCUUUUCCUGUUUGGGUUCUGGGAAGGGUGUCUGUUCCCACCCUGGCUUUGAUGGUUCCCUGACAACUGUUAGGGAACAAAGACUGGAGACCAUAGGCUCAUUGCCUGUCAUUUCCCAACACCUCUGGUCUUCGCCUCUGACUUUCACCCAGAUGACUAGGAUGGGAGGUUUUCCUGAGGUACCUUUCCCAAUCUGUUUAUACUAGAGCACAGUUUCCCACUCCUUCCAUAUUGCUUUAAACUAUGAUGAAAGGGAAUUUCACAGAAUUAAUCCGAUAACUUGAUGUGGAGGCUGGCACUUCAGCAGGUCAAGAUCACCUAGGGUUUUGUUUGUAUCUAAGUUCACCAGAUUCUUCCAAUCAGCUAAAGUUGGUUGUCUCUUAUUGUCAAUUUUUCUUCUAUUUCUAUAGCUGGGAUGGGGAGAGAUUUCUGAAAAAAUGUUUACUCUCCAUUACCUCUACCUAAUCUGUCUGGGAAUGCCUCGUUCCCUUUUUUAGGAUAAAGCAUAUUUCUAUGUUUUGAUAAGGAAGAGAAUAAUUGAUGUUCCUCUUCAGGCCUGAAAAGAUAAUUAUGUGUCCCAGGAGCUGUCUGUUUGGCAGAUGAUCUUGUUUUCUUGGCCACUUCCCUCAACCCCCUUGCCACCAACAGGCCUGAAGGUUCUGGUAGCUCAAGAAGACCCUGAAAGGUAGGCAUUCAUGUUUGUUGUUGUUGUUGUUUUUAUCAUACCAAGAAUAUCCCGAGCCAGCCAUUGGAAUUCCUGCUUCAUCUGCCUGAAAGCUUAUGCCAAGAGCUCCCCAUGGGGCCUGUGGUGAUGGAUGUCUUGAGGCCUAGGAACUGGAGCUAUCCUGAUGGCAGAAGUUGAGUGCCUGCAUGCAAGACUCAGACCUGAGCCAAAGGAAAGCACAGACAGCAACCAAACAACUCCAGGCACCUGGCUGGCUGACUGCAUGGAAACAACUCUCCAUCCCUCCUCCAUCCAUCCCACAGCCAGGAAAGCCCACAGGCAUACCAUUUAGCGGGGUUUGCUUUAUUUAGCUCAACUUAGGAAUGGUACCCACGAAUGGUACCCUUAAGCAUAUCAGGAAGCUGAGAUGCAGCCCUGACAUCUCACUUCCCUUGGCGCCUGCCUUAGCUUGGCUGAACUUGCUGUUCCUGUCUUUUUAGAGGACUUGCUUGUAGUCUUGAAUCAGGAUCGCACUGUGACACCUCCCCAGGGGUCCCCAGCUAUUGAUUUUUAAUAUCCGUAUUCAAUAUUGUGUAUUAAAUAUUGAAUCCAUG
rnacentral:lncRNA from 1 species